rnacentral:rRNA from 1 species
CACGAACGCUGGCGGCAGGCUUAACACAUGCAAGUCGAGCGCCCCGCAAGGGGAGCGGCAGACGGGUGAGUAACGCGUGGGGAUCUACCCAUCCCUACGGAAUAGCUCCGGGAAACUGGAAUUAAUACCGUAUACGCCCUACGGGGGAAAGAUUUAUCGGGGAUGGAUGAGCCCGCGUUGGAUUAGCUAGUUGGUGGGGUAAAGGCCUACCAAGGCGUCGUUCCAUAGCUGGUCUGAGAGGAUGAUCAGCCACAUUGGGACUGAGACACGGCCCAAACUCCUACGGGAGGCAGCAGUGGGGAAUAUUGGACAAUGGGGGCAACCCUGAUCCAGCCAUGCCGCGUGAGUGAUGAAGGCCUUAGGGUUGUAAAGCUCUUUCACCGGGGAAGAUAAUGACGGUACCCGGAGAAGAAGCCCCGGCUAACUUCGUGCCAGCCGCCGCCGUAAAAC